UACGUAGGGGGCAAGCGUUGUCCGGAUUCAUUGGGCGUAAAGCGCGCGCAGGCGGCUCCGAGAGCCCGGCGUGAAAGCCCCCGGCUCAACCGGGGGAGGUCGUCGGGGACCUUGGGGCUAGAGGCCGGUAGGGGCGAGCGGAAUUCCCGGUGUAGUGGUGGAAUGCGUAGAGAUCGGGAGGAACACCAGUGGCGAAGGCGGCUCGCUGGACCGGUCCUGACGCUCAGGCGCGAAAGCGUGGGGAGCGAUCCGG
rnacentral:rRNA from 1 species